GCCAGGGCCAGAGGAGCAAGGGAGGUCCCUUCGACAGCAGCCAUAAAAAGCCGGGCACCACACGCAUGCGUAAACUCUCUUCCGGGAACUAUGGGGGCUCCAGGGCACAGUCCAGGCAGAGCAGGAAGGUGGCACCCGCCGGCUGUGGCGAGGCCGAGGCGGCAAAGCGAAGAUGGCACCUGCCCCGGAAAAGAGAGAGAAGAGAAAAAAAGGUAUAUGAAGUUGGCUCAGAUGCUUCAGGAUGUUUUGGUCUUAAAUGUAUUCUGUGGGAUUAAGGAACUCCGAAAGCCCUGAUGUGAGCCUGAGAAUCUUGUGUAUCUUCCUCUAGUCCUACUCUUCCUGGUAAAUGGUUGAAGACAGAAGACUUAUUAUAGAUUUUACAUCUAGCCCAUGAGGAUUUUGACUGAUUCCACUGAGCAGGCUCAGCUGAAAUCCUGCCACAUCCUAGGACCGCAUCAUAAGUCGCUGGAGGUAAUAUGAUUACUCUGAGCAAAUACAACACAAACUAGCAAGUGAUUGCAGUGUCCUGUGGAUAAGAAUCAGAAAAAAAAAACAAAAGAAUCGAGCUGGCAAAUUGCGUGAGAGAAGGCAGCUUUCCUUGGAGCAGGAAACCGUGUGUGGCAUGCCUACCCUGAGCGUUUCUCGCAUCCCAACUUUUGAGAGCCAACCUCUUUAAUUACAAACAGAACU